UGGGGAAUUUUGGACAAUGGGGGCAACCCUGAUCCAGCAAUGCCGCGUGAGUGAAGAAGGCCUUCGGGUUGUAAAGCUCUUUUGUCAGGGAAGAAACGGUAGUAGCGAAUAACUAUUACUAAUGACGGUACCUGAAGAAUAAGCACCGGCUAACUACGUGCCAGCAGCCGCGGUAAUACGUAGGGUGCAAGCGUUAAUCGGAAUUACUGGGUGUAAAGCGUGCGCAGGCGGUUGUGUAAGUCAGAUGUGAAAUCCCCGGGCUCAACCUGGGAAUUGCAUUUGAGACUGCACGGCUAGAGUGUGUCAGAGGGGGGUAGAAUUCCACGUGUAGCAGUGAAAUGCGUAGAUAUGUGGAGGAAUACCGAUGGCGAAGGCAGCCCCCUGGGAUAACACUGACGCUCAUGCACGAAAGCGUGGGGAGCAAACAGGAUUAGAUACCCCGGUAGUCCCUGAGCGGGCUGGCAAGGCGC
rnacentral:rRNA from 1 species